CCUACGGGAGGCUGCAGUGGGGAAUAUUGGACAAUGGGGGGAACCCUGAUCCAGCCAUGCCGCGUGUAUGAAGAAGGCCCUCGGGUUGUAAAGCACUUUCAGUGAGGAAGAACGCCUGGUGGUUAAUACCCAUCAGGAAAGACAUCACUCACAGAAGAAGCACCGGCUAACUCCGUGCCAGCAGCCGCGGUAAUACGGAGGGUGCGAGCGUUAAUCGGAAUUACUGGGCGUAAAGCGCGCGUAGGUGGCUUGAUAAGCCGGUUGUGAAAGCCCCGGGCUCAACCUGGGAACGGCAUCCGGAACUGUCAAGCUAGAGUGCAGGAGAGGAAGGUAGAAUUCCCGGUGUAGCGGUGAAAUGCGUAGAGAUCGGGAGGAAUACCAGUGGCGAAGGCGGCCUUCUGGACUGACACUGACACUGAGGUGCGAAAGCGUGGGUAGCAAACAGGAUUAGAUACCCCGGUAGUC
rnacentral:rRNA from 1 species